UGCCAUGAUGGUGUAAUUUGCGUCUGAUUUUGUGAACAGUGACGGUUGCCUGCCGUCAUAUGCUGGCACAGAAAGCUGACGACCAACUGAGUCUGAGCA
ensembl:snoRNA SNORD16 Small nucleolar RNA SNORD16